AUGCCCCUGGACUUCACCAAGCACUUCGUCGCGGUGCUGAUGGAGUUCAAGCUCAGGAAAAACACCGUCUGCUCCUGGAAGGUGACAGUCAAGCUGAUGAACGGUAGGGUGACCCUGGAUCAGGGUUGGGCCACCUACGCAGCCGUUCAUCAGAUCAAGAUCGGCUACAUGGUGACGUUCAAGCUCCUCACUGCCGACACCCUCAAGGUCAUCAUCUUCGACGAUGAUGGCAUUGAGGUUGUCAACAACUGUGGGAAGCACGACGAAGCCUUCGCCACCAAGGAGUAG
rnacentral:rRNA from 1 species